rnacentral:lncRNA from 1 species
AAUAGUUCGUAUAACAGGCCUGCUCUGCCUGGCUUGGCAUUUCUCUCUCUUUUGCAAACCACUGCUCCGGAGUUUGGGUUGCUCAGAUCUUCAUCAGACCCUCCAGGGCUGGGGAUGGCAAGCCCUCUGGUCUACAAGCACAGACCCCACUCCCCAGCCACAACUAACCAACCAGAGCGGGGCAGGCCAGACUGCAGCAGCCUGAAGGCCAUUCUCAGAGGCAGAUGGGCAGCGUCUCUGUCUUUCCGUAGCGUGGCAGAGACUCCGCGACGAAUGGAGGGCUUGGAGCCCGGCCUGGAGUACCCACCCUUCGAUGAGGACGAUGGCCCGGUUGAUUGCGACUGCCCCGUCGCCUGCUACCGCGGGCACCGGGGUUACAGGUGAGCGGCCG